UGAACCUGCUCUCAACUCUGAUACUGGUUUGGGGAGGGAGUUUUUGGAGGGGGGGAGCUUCUCGAGCAAGUCAUUUAUUCUUAGUUGUUGGUAAAAUGAGGAUGGUGAUAACGGCCCUCCAGUGCCUAAAGGGGCUCCAGGAAACCUGGAG